CUUGCAAGUUUCUAGCUCAAAGUGAGGGAAAUGUGCCAGCCUUGUUAAAAAAUAAAUAGCUAAAUACAUGAAAUGAAUACAAGUUUAGUAGAAUCUCAAAGAUAAGGGGAAUUCCCCCUUCUUGGAAAUGUACAUAUGUGGAAAUAUUUAAUGUGUGGAAAUGAAACAUCCAUACACGACUUACACAUGUGUAACUGUAUAGAUUUACAAUACAUAUGGGAUUCUGUGCUAAAACCUUUAUAUAAUACACAUUCACUGUGCAAUGAAAUACUUUUUAUAUUUUACCUUAUAUUAGAAAGCAUAUUAUAAGGAAAAUUAUUUCUCAUUUAUCAGGGUAACAGGAAUGCACAAGUAUAUAUUGAUAAAUUAAUGUAACUUUAAAAAGGGAUAAACAAAGGGUGGGCAAGAGAUGGCUUGUGGGCCAGAUCCGGCCUGCAGCCACCUUGCCAGCACCCUUACUAAUUGCUCUGUAAACUGGGAAAGGAGGAGAGAGCUUUCCGUGGUGUCCCCGCCCCCAGCAAAAUCCCCAAGUUCCUAUUGGGCAGUUUCUGACCAUUAGGAGAUGAGAAAAUUUUACUGAAGGCAGGGGUAGCGAAUGACGCCUCCUCACUCCCCCCUCCCUGUGCUGGAGCAGAGCCAUCUGGAACAGUCCGCCCAGCACACAGGCAGGGUUCCUGCAGAGCUGCUGCCUGGGAGCCACCUAGGUAAGUGCCCCCCAGCCAGAGCCUGCCUCUGUCUCCUUCUCUUUCUCCCCAACUACAUGCCCCAAGCUACUGCCCAAACACUUGUAUCCCCUCUCCCCACUUCUUCCAGGUCACAACUCCCUCCUAGACUGUGCACUUCCUCAUACAUCCCUCCCCCUUUCCUUCACACAUACCCCUCCCUGACCCUGCACCCCAUUCUCCUGCCCCACAUACCACCUAAAUCCUUGGCGCCCCCUUUCCCUCCUUCUCCUACGUCACAACCCCCUCUUAUACUCUUCCGACACCGCUCCUACAGGCCAGAAUCCUCUCCUGCACUCCAUAACCCCUCCUGGACCCAGCAGCCCAAGCGCCUGACCCAGAUCAUAAUCCCCCCUUUCAGCCAAACUCCCUACUACACCCCACCAGCCAUCCCAGACCCUGUGCUCCCUCCUCCGAAGUGCAGCCCUUUACCACUUGCCAAAAUCUUGGAGUGGCCCCCCAUUAAAAAUUAUUGCCCACUCCUGGGAUAAGCCAACAGUAAAUUUUCAAGUCACGUGUAAUUUUUUUAAAGUUAGGAAUGAUUCACAUAGGUUUGGCUGCAUAAUUUAUUUAUUUUGUUUCUAUGAAAGGGGUUAUUUUUGUCAGAUAAACAUAACUUUAAAUUGUUUAGGGCCCUUUUUAUUAUGAUAGAGGGUUUUUCUUGUUUUUUCUUAAAAACACUUAUAUUGUCAAGGUUUAUGGAGAGUCAUAGCCUCAACAAACAAUCAGCUCUAUAACAAAAUCAUGAUUUAUUUACCUGUUCAGUCAACCCUUCAGGUUUUAGAAUUCAUCAUUGAAAUCUUUUAUAGAUUCUGAAAGUUACCCACUUUGAAUUAUAUUUUUUCUGCUUUAAACCAUUGUAAGUACAAAUUAAUGGGAGUUUCCUUUUGAUUAUGAUGUGAAUGAGAAAUUUUAAAUUAUGGUUUCUGAAGAAAAGUGGCAAGUUAUACAUUCACACAGUUUUUCUUUCAUUUAGUGACUAUUUAAAAAAAAAUACUUUUUCCGAAUGGACUUCUUGUAAAUUGCAAUUUUUAAUGAAUAUUUUUUUAAAGUACUGAUGUGUCCUGAAAACAAAUUUCAUAUUCCUUUUGGAGAAGAGGAGAUUUGAUGGCAACUCUCUUAUUUCCCACUAGUUAAGGGACAGUUCUUCCAUAGACUUUCAAUGAUUACAUUUUCAAAAGUUACUGAAAAACUUUUUAGAAACAAGAAGUCUGAUUUUUUGCUGUCUUUACCCCUUGAGUACGUGCAUAUACAUAUGCAAACUGGGAUGCAAAUGCUACUAACUCUGAAUUCUUUGCUCAUGCCAGUGGCAGCAGUUUGUGCUCCUGGCAGAAUUCAGCAUCAUGUGUAUGCACAGAAUUCAAGGUCCCUGUAGAUUUAUUUGCUUCCUAGCAGAAAAGAGACUUUGUGAUGGCAACACAAAAGCAAGGUGCAAGAACAGUCUUCCCUGGCUUCCUCCCUGGCAGUUCAAGUAGUUAGUUUGGGCAUGCAGAGCAAGUGGUGGAUGUAAAUCACCACGGUGGAAAGUAGGGGGAGGAACGUGGCAGUCAUGUAUGUU